GAAAAAGGUGUAGAUUCACGCGCAGAGCACGGCAGAUGUUUAUUACGCCUUCGCAGGAGGCAGGAAUCGUGGUCACAGGCAAGCAAUUGUCAAACACAGGUAGGUAGUCGAAAACAAACAAUACCUCACAACCAUACAAACAGAAAGAACUGAACUAAAUAGGGAGCUGAUGAGACCAGCUGAGAAACGAACACAGGUGAAAUCAAUGAACAAAAAUGAAAGAGACUACGUUGAAGAACACGAAGAAACAGAACAUAAGAUGUGGGUGAUUUGCCUGAUCCCUCAGUCCCAGGCCUACCAGAAGGGUAUCCUUUUUGUGGAGCAAUUCAGCUGUGCCACAUGUUUUGACUGACGCAGUCCUGAAACAAGAGAUCAACGCAUCAAUUCUUGGACUCAAACAGCAGCUGGAGGAUGUAUGCAACGGCCUGAGAGAGAUUAAUCAAUCAUUGAAAGAACUUGUUGAUUGUGUCAAACAUGUGAGACAAUAAAUUCUGGUGCAAUGUAAAUGUGUUUUCCUUGUCAAUUUGAUUACAAUAUUUGGAAGAACAGAUAUCUAAAACUGUUGUAUGAUAUUGACUCUUGUCCUCAGUGCCAGAGCUAUGGGUGGUGGAAAAAACUCCCUGUCAGGCAUGGGCUCAUCGGGUCUGGGUGGAUGAUUCAGUGGAAUGCCAUUUUUGAUUGCAAUGUUGUGGAAUACACUCCAAGCCUUGACAAUGUAGCAAGCCUAAAAAGGAAUUUGCACAUUGUAUUACAUUCACGUAAUGGCAUUUGAAGGAAUGUCAUUUCAGAGGCAAACCUUGCUAGGCUAGUAUUGCAGUGUGCCUCCUGUCCCAGACAAGCACAACGCCCUUUCAGCAGGCCUAUGGUGCGCUGCACUGUUGUUCUUGUGCUUGCGUGGGCUUCGUUGUACCUUGACUCUUGUUGGUUUGAGGAGUUUGUGAGGGGAGUCAUCAGCCAUGUUUUUAACGGGUAACUCCGGUCUCCUGCAGUUAUGAAACACACCAUUCAGAUAUUGUUU
rnacentral:lncRNA from 1 species